CUCCAGCUUCUUUCUCUCUGUCUCUCACCAGCAGGUGCCUCAGGGAUGCAGAGCUCAGACACUAACCUGCCCUCUGCCACCCACCUAAUCAGUCUCCUUCCAGCAGGUGCAGCUGGGAGGUCACCCUGGGCUUCUCUCCACCAGCGGGGAAGCAGAACCAUGCGGGGUCCCCUCGCCUUCCUGUGCGCCCUCCUGUUUCCCGGUGGCGUGGCAGCGAUCAGUGUGGAGCAGCCAGCCGUGGUGGUGGCACGUGCAGGCAGCUGGGCCACGCUGCCCUGCAAAACCAGCACCUCGGUCAGCUACAUCCACUGGUAUCGCCACCAGGAGGGUACAGCCCCCAAGAGGAUCCUCAUGCUGGAUAUGUCCAGCUCAUAUGUGACCAGAGAUGGUGUCUUGACAGCAGACAAGGUCCACGCCAAGAAAGGCAAGGAUAGCACAAGCUCUAACCUGUUGCUGCUGAAGCUGGCGAAGAGCGAUGAGGGCGUGUAUUACUGUGCUGUUUGGGAAGAUCAGAGCACAGCCUUACAGGAAGCUCAGAGCUGUGCCAGACUGACGAUUCAAGAAUCUGACCAUCUCCAAUGAAGAAUGUGGGAAUAAAAUAUCGUGCAAAUAAUUUCAAGGCCGAGAGACUCUCUGGGGAUUCCGCACAAAAUGGGUGCAAACCGAGACUGGAAGGCAGCUCCUGACUCCAGUUUCUAAGUUGCCACCUCACCCACUGCUGGUUCCUGUGCAGAGAGAGAGAGAUUCCUUGAUCAGAAGCCCAGGAAACAGUGUGGCUGACUUCGCAGCACCCUCACGCAUGCCUGGCGCUCACUCUCCUGCAGGGGAAAUGAUCCUCAGGGCAGGUGCAUGCAUCGGCCCUGGACGAGACCCCGGGCCCUCCGCCUUCCCCUUCUCCUUGAAAGUGACUCCAUAUGGGAUUUGGGGACCAGCUUCCCUGGACCUCUGUUCUCUCCUCUGUAAAGUGAGGAGGUUUAACUGCUACAAUGUGUGACUGAUUUUUGUAUUAAAGCAAAAUUAUACCAAAAAUAUAUCACUAUGUUCACUAACUUCUUAUAAAGUUAGUCAACUUCUUGACCAAAAGAAAAAAAAAGAAAAAGAAAUAAAAAUGAAAGAAGAGAAAUUAAAGAAAAGAAAAGCUAUAUUACUAAUUCCCUAGCCAUAAACAGGAGAGGCCCUGCUGUGUGGAGGGAAGAUAAAACUCUCUGAGGAGGUCUAAGCUGAAUUAAAUACAUUUUCAAUUGAAAAUUCCAACUUUAUGUACAACUUAAUAGCAUUGGCAAAAAUAAUUAAUGAAAGGGAAGUCUAAAUGAUCGGAAGUAAAUUGGUUUCUCGGAUUUGCUAAAUCUUCCUCCAUCUUGAUGAGCUUCUGUUUGUGUGGAUGAUUUAUAUUUAAGACAUGCCUGCCUGUGAAGGAGCCCAAACAACAUCUGGACCCUCUACUGAAGUCCCGGGUCAAGGUUAAGGCCUCCAGCAAGUGCAGGAAGUGUGUGAGGGGGGGAGGGUUUAGGGGGCAGAAAGUCACCUUCCCUCCUUCUUGGGGGUGGUCCCCUCAUUUGUCAUCACCAUUUCCUAAUACAACCCAACCCUCUCGUCUUGCUGCACCUUCUCAGUGCCUGACUCCACAGAGGGGUGACUCUGAGAUCUGAUUAUUAUGGUUUAGUUAGAGAGAAGUGAGAUAAAUAUGAAGACACUCUCAUGAGAAGUGAUCCCAAGUCCAUGUCAAUCUCAGUUUUCCACGUGGAUCCAUUGUGCUUUUGAUGUACAGCCUGAGAGGACAGUGGCCUUGUACAGGGAGGAAACACCUCCUUUGUGGAGGAAGAAACAAGUCUAUGUUUGGAGUCAUUUCCUCCUCCUGCCCUUCUCCUUUUGGCUAAGGUGAGCUUCACCCAGGACACUUUGACCACACAUAGUAAAGGCCAACCAGCUCUGCCUUACGUAAAGAUUUUUCAUUACAAGGUUGUUUCAAGGCUGAUUCAUGAAAAUACUAAAAAUGUCUUAUUGGAGUAUAUAGGACUGAGUAUAGUAGGGCCUCUAUCUCUGUUGAAGUGAGAUUCAUAUUUUGAAUAUACUGAUGGGCUCGCAUUACCUCAAGGGUAAAGGACUUUGCAUAGAUGGCUGCUUGAAAAAUCCUGAUGAUUUGUGCUCAACUCAUUCGUUUCAUUCCUGAGGUGGGUGAGACACAAUGCUUUU